UUCUAAAUACCAGCGAUUCAGAUACCCAAUCAUAGAGCUGCCCCUGUUUCCAGACAGUAGCCAAUUCAGAGCACAGCCUUGCUCCCUGGAACCCUUCUCAAAAUCAGCUAAUACAAGCCCCAAUCCUCUAAUUCUUUUAUAACAUCCUCCUACUAAGACACCCUAGAGUUCCCUGAGGUGUGUAUUUUUCUUGAUUACAAUGAGCAGCAAACCCAAUUUGUUCAACUCCUUGGAGGUCUUUAACUGAUAGGCAUUGACAGGUGGCUAUUAAGAAACACAUUCGCAGCCGGGCACAGUGGCUCAUGCCUCCAAUCCCAACACUUUGGGAGGCCAAGGCAAGUGGAUCACUUGAGCCCAGGAGUUUGAGACCAGCCUGGGCAA
rnacentral:lncRNA from 1 species